rnacentral:lncRNA from 1 species
AACACCCCUCCCCUCCCCUCUGCGAGGAAGAAUUUGGGCCGCGGGGUCUGCGGUCCCAAGACUCCAGCAGCCUGGGGGGGGGGGGGGGGUGGGGGUGCGGUAGAGCUUCCCGAGGAAGUUAUGGGACCUUGCCUCGGGAUAUUCAGAAGUGCCAGUCCGGUUCUGGCAGCCUGAACCUUUCCUCCUCCAAG